rnacentral:rRNA from 1 species
AACGAACGCUGGCGGCAUGCCUAACACAUGCAAGUCGAACGAUGCCUUCGGGCAUAGUGGCGCACGGGUGCGUAACGCGUGGGAAUCUGCCCUUGGCUUCGGAAUAACAGUUAGAAAUGACUGCUAAUACCGGAUGAUGUCCCCCUGAGAGAUCUUGGGGACCAAAGAUUUAUCGGCCAGGGAUGAGCCCGCGUAGGAUUAGGUAGUUGGUGGGGUAAAGGCCUACCAAGCCGACGAUCCUUAGCUGGUCUGAGAGGAUGAUCAGCCACACUGGGACUGAGACACGGCCCAGACUCCUACGGGAGGCAGCAGUGGGGAAUAUUGGACAAUGGGGGGAACCCUGAUCCAGCAAUGCCGCGUGAGUGAUGAAGGCCUUAGGGUUGUAAAGCUCUUUUACCAGGGAUGAUAAUGACAGGACCUGGAGAAUAAGCUCCGGCUAACUCCGU